rnacentral:rRNA from 1 species
UGGGGAAUAUUGCACAAUGGAGGGAACUCUGAUGCAGCGACGCCGCGUGAACGAAGAAGGCUUUCGAGUCGUAAAGUUCUUUUAUAUGGGAAGAUAAUGACGGUACCAUAAGAAAAAGCCCCGGCUAACUACGUGCCAGCAGCCGCGGCAAUACGUAGGGGGCUAGCGUUGUCCGGAAUCACUGGGCGUAAAGGGUUCGCAGGCGGAAAUGCAAGUCAGGUGUAAAAGGCAGUAGCUUAACUACUGUAAGCAUUUGAAACUGCAUAUCUUGAGAAGAGUAGAGGUAAGUGGAAUUUUUGGUGUAGCGGUGAAAUGCGUAGAUAUUAAAAAGAAUACCGGUGGCGAAGGCGACUUACUGGGCUCAUUCUGACGCUGAGGAACGAAAGCGUGGGUAGCAAACAGG